GGAAUGUUUAAAAGCCAAUUUUGCCUUAUGUAUUGAUUUUAGAACCUUAUUUGUAGCAAUUUAUUGAAAAAAAAAAACGUAUUUGAAACUUUGACAGCAACUGUCGUGCUGCUGCAGCCAGGUCACUGACAGCUCUAAUGGCCCCUUUAUUAUCUCUUUCCUGUUUCUGGGCAAACCUCUUAGCCAUUCGUUCCUGGUUAACUCGGAAACACAUCCAGAGGCUGCAUGCAGCUGCCACAGUCAUCAAGCGUGCAUGGCAGAAGUGGAGAAUCAGAAUGGCCUGCCUUGCUGCUAAAGAGCUGGAUGGUGUGGAAGAAAAACACUUCUCUCAAGUUCCCUGUUCCCUGAGCACCUCGCCGCUGCAGACCAGGCUCCUGGAGGCAAUAAUCCGCCUCUGGCCCCUGGGACUGGUCCUGGCCAAUACGGCUAUGGGUGUAGGCAGCUUUCAGAGGAAAUUAGUGGUCUGGGCUUGCCUCCAGCUCCCCAGGGGCAGCCCCAGUAGCUACACUGUCCAGACAGCACAAGACCAGGCUGGUGUCACGUCCAUCCGAGCGCUGCCUCAGGGAUCGAUAAAGUUUCACUGCAGAAAGUCUCCACUGCGGUAUGCUGACAUCUGCCCUGAACCUUCGCCCUACAGCAUUACAGGCUUUAAUCAGAUUCUGCUGGAAAGACACAGGCUGAUCCACGUGACCUCUUCUGCCUUCACUGGGCUGGGGUGAUCCUUGGUGCCUUUGUUUCCACAAGGCCUUUUCCUGCCCCCUGCCUUGCCAAAGACAUUUAAUCAGCACACAGCUGCCAGACUAUUCCCACAGUGCUCCAAAUGCACAUGAACAACAGUGACGGCUCCAGCCCUCGACCCAGAGCCCCGUGCCCAGUGCGUCAGUGGGCCUGGGGUUCCAGGCUACAUCAAGCACGGAUGGUGUCAGGGCUGGUAGUUACCAAACCAGGGUUAAGAAACAUCAGGGCCACAUUUCAUUACCUUCACAGAUCAAACUCAGCAGCAGUCAUGACUGUCUGUCACUACAUUGGGGAUCCCA
rnacentral:sRNA from 1 species